CGAGUAUACUAAUAAUACAAACAGAAAAAUGUGGAAAGACAGAGGACCAGGAGUGAAGAUCCUAUGGCUUUGGGCUAUUGGAACUGCUGGAAUUCUAGUAACAAGCGUAGUGAGGACCAGACUGCGGGAUAUGGAGGAGUUUAUGAACGCUCAGCAACAAACGCCUGGGCCUAUUGAUUCACCUGCAAUAAGCGACAAUGAUGAUCAUCAAUCAUUGAAUUCCGAGGAUUUCAUUCGGGAGGACAGAGGGUGAAUAAUAGUCUUGUAUGCUAUGUGUUUGAUGAAUUGUCUGAAUGGUGAUUUUAGUUAUUCCUUUACAGAAUUUGGAAUUAUUCGACUCUUUUCUGGUUUUUCCUUUUAAAGUUUUUAAUCAAUUUGCAAGGUUCAUCAUAUGUUUGAAAG
rnacentral:misc_RNA from 1 species